AUUUAUGACUGCCCUGAGACAUGCUCAAUCACUAGCUUAAGAACAACCAUUGCCACAGCAAGAUUAUUAAAAUCAAGGAACAAUCUCGAGCUCGAAUAUCCUGUGACAACAUAUGUAAAGAUGAAGAAAAAAGAAGUGAAAAACAUGGGGAAGGAGGUGGCACAUUGGAUGCCGGUGUUCAUAAAUCAUAACAAAUAAAUGCAUGCACACAAACACAGACAUGCAUACACCCUGAAUAAUGAUUAAUUGAGAUCCUUGUGAAUUAUGGUAAUUAUCUGAUGCAGGGAGUGGAGAGGCAUAAUUAAGGUAUAAGAUGCAACUAACAAGGUGAAUUACUUUAUAUACUCUUAACAGAUUCUCGCAUCGGAUGCCGGUGUUCAUAAAUCAUAACAAAUAAAUGCAUGCACACAAACACAGACAUGCAUACACCCUGAAUAAUGAUUAAUUGAGAUCCUUGUGAAUUAUGGUAAUUAUCUGAUGCAGGGAGUGGAGAGGCAUAAUUAAGGUAUAAGAUGCAACUAACAAGGUGAAUUACUUUAUAUACUCUUAACAGAUUCUCGCAUCGCUCGUCAAGGACGCAAACGUUGGUGCAUUCAGUAGUCAAAUGAACCAAAUGCGUCAAAACCUCAAAUGGUUAGCAAUAUCCUCUGUUGAAAAACCAUACUAGGUCUGGGC
rnacentral:lncRNA from 1 species